GAUGAACGCUGGCGGCGUGCCUAAUACAUGCAAGUCGAGCGAACAGAUGAGGAGCUUGCUCCGCUGACGUGAGCGGCGGACGGGUGAGUAACACGUGUAUAACCUACCUAUAAGACGGGUAUAACUUCGGGAAACCGGAGCUAAUACCGGAUAAGAUAUUGAACCGCAGGGGUGAAUAGUGAAAGACGGUGUUGCUGUCACUUCUAGAGGGAUCCGGGCCGCAUUAGCUAGUUGGUAAGGUAACGGCUUACCAAGGCGACGAUGCGUAGCCGAACGGAGGGGGUGAUAGGCCACAUUGGAACGGAGACACGGUCCAGACUACUAAGGGACGCAGCAGUCGGGAAUCGUCCGCAACGGGCGGAAGCCUGGCGGAGCAACGGCGAGUGAGUGAUGAAGGUCUUCGGAUCGUAAAAACCUGUUAUUAGGGAAGAACCAAUGUGUAAGUAAAUAUGGCCGUCUUGACGGUAACUAAUCAGAAAGCAACGGCUAACUACGUG
rnacentral:rRNA from 1 species